AUUCUUUUUGUCAACACGUUGACUUGUUAUAGUUGUUAUAUAGUUUUUUAAUCUGUUGAAUGACUUAAUUUAAGUUUAUUAGAGUAGCACAGUGGAGUACUGCAUACUAUAUACGUUUUACUUUGUACUGGAUACAGUACAAAUAGACUGUUGUAAAACUAGUAUUUACUGUAACAAGCUCAUUUUAAGUUAGGGUUGAAGGUGAAAAUGAGUUUUGUGACUGUGAAGGAGAACAAUGUAGAGAAGUUGCACUUCGUGCGGGAGCCAGGACUGAGAUCCUGGAGUAUUCUUGGAGCAAUGGUUGCACUAGGAUUUGGAGCAGCUCUCUAUAGUGCAGAUAGCUUGCUGUGGCAGGUGUGUUACAUUGGGGCAUGCACAUUUGUUGGCUUAUCUCAGCUGGAAGAAUGGGAGGUAGGUGGUUAAUGUAUGACAGUUAUACUGAUGUGCUUUAAAACAAUUUUGAGGGACAUUUUGCAGAUAUGAUUUAAGGCUGAGGAGAACAGUAUGGUAAGAACUUGGUUUUAAUCAUGUUCUGAUCAAAUGGUUAUUAUUUAUGCCUUCUCAACUAAUUAAUUUUGUAGUAAAAUUUGACAAUCAGUUUGUUUCCCCCAGAGCAU